AGGUUCUUUCAACGCAAGGUUAUCCAGAGAAACACAGUGGAAACCCAAAAUUUUCCCUAGAGCUACCACAGAUGCUGCAAGGACCAGGAUUGAGAGCAAUAGGGAUAAUGUACAUGUGGAGAUACCAGAGGUCACCAUCUCAGAAGCCCUCUGGAGAAAAACAAAGGAGCACAAAGCAGUGAUGGAGAAAUUGUGGCACUAAAUCAUCUGAAUAUAUGUGAAUAUGAAGACAGCUGUGCUUGAAGCCAUUUUCCACCUGACUUCUCAGUCCUGCAAGCCAGUGAAACUUUUGUUUUCCCUUCAGCAAUUUGGGUUAGGUCUUUUUCUCACUGAAAACCUGUAACCAUGGAGUUGUUAUAGGGGGUGGUGAGGAGGGUCGACAUGGUGCAAUUUCUUGCCUAAAUUGAAGCUACUAUUAGGACAACUAGAGUCUGACAAAUUAGUUUGACUCAGAGGUCCAUGCUCUGCCCAUGCCUGGCGACACAGAGAGUGGAGUGGGUGCUCGGAAAACGCAGGUGAAAAGGAAGCGUCAUGAAGAAGACAUGAAGGAUUGGUAAAGCUUUGAUAAACUAUGGAACACCAUUCUAAGGAUAAAGGCAAGCAUCAUCAAUAAACUGGGAGGCAAGCCACACUGCGCACGCGUUUAGCAAUCCCUGGAUUUUGAGAUGAUCAAAGAACAUCUGUCCUACAGGAAAGCAAAGUCAGUCUCCUAACAGUCUGGGUUUCCAUUAUGCUCCCAAGAGCAAGUUUGGAUCACUCCCUAAAAUGCUAAGGAUAACAAUAUGCUCUCCCUUCAUGAUGCGAACGGGGAGGGCAGCAGACAAAAUAUAAAUAACGACCUGAAAGCCAGUUAUUCAAUCCAGAAGGAGUGUGGUUACAGAAAGAACGUGCAACUUGGAAUGAGAAGAACCUGGAUUCCAAUCUUACUUCCUCCGUGAUCAGAAGAGAUGGUGGAUGAGAGUGAGUCCAGAGCAGUGCUUGUUGUAGAGACCCUGCAUGUACAGUAGCCCUGGCUUCGGCCUCAUACUUCUCCUCCUGUGUCCAUUCUGAGUGGCGUUGCUGAGGCUCCUAAUAUGCACCUGGAGUUUACUUAACUUGCUGAAGGUCUGGGCAGAAGGGCAGGACUCUGACCCGCGGCAAAGAUCCGCGAUGCCUGCAGCUGAACGGAGCUCGUGAAUCUGAUGUUUCCUCUCCAUUCUUGAGUUUUCUGCAUUAACCCCCACGUGGAAACACGGACCCACCCGCUGGAGGACUGUGAAGAGAAAAUGUGAAGAGGUGUUAGCAGAGCAUCUGGUAUAUAGUAGGUGCA